CUGAGUUGGUGUUUAAAGUAAGCGUCUCGAUGCUCUCUCUUCAUCUGGUGAUGGUGAAAUGGCUCUGUUCAUCCUCAUCUCUUUCCAUCUGAUUCUGCAAGUUCAGCCGCAAAAUGCUCCUCAGCUCUCAGUGUCCACUUCAGGGAGAAGCUCAGUCCAGCUGAACUGCACACCUCCGUAUGCUGGACUCUCUCAGUGUUAUUUCUAUCCAGAAGGACAUGAGAGAAAUUUGAAGUUUCCAUCCUGUCAGCUCUCACUCACUGGAGCUGAACUGACCGCAUGGGCUGGACGCAGUUACAGUUCACUCCAACCCGUCAACGUUAUUUGCUAUUACUCUGUGAAAAUAUCAGAUAGACAGCGUCUGUCUCCUCACUCUCUCCCAGCUCCAGUGAGAACACUGGGUGAGAAACCAACAAUGACGGUAAGUUAUGAUGAUCGACGUCACGAGUCCAGGCUUGUGUGUGAAAUAUCACUGUCACUCGGUGCUGAUGUUGGGUGUGAUUUCUACAUUGGAGAUGAGAAGAUAAAGUGGAUGAUGUCUCAGAGGACCAGAUCUGGAUCACUGGCUUGUAGUUUUACAGCUCAGAGGGAUUUUCUGUUCAGUCGUAUGAAAUCAGCGAAGAGCAGAGAAGUGAGCUGUGAUUAUUCACUGAUCUCUGACCAAACCGUCCAGUCUCCACUCAGUGACUCACACAGCCUCACACAACUUCCUCCUUUACCAACUCCAAAAACUACAACACAAUUAACAAAACCGAAAUCUACUACAGAAGCUUUAGAUACUGUGGCCACACGCCCCAGGGAAACCACAAAAGACGCUCUAACAACGCAUCCCAAACAAGAUGAUCACAUCGAAAAAUUGUUCAGAAGAAUUUCUCUCAUACUGAUGUUGACCACCUGUGUCAGCGCUUUACUGGCUGGAGUGAUCGUCUGUCUGCGCAGAUUUAUCAGAAAGCAGAGGACAGUGAGAACAGCGUCCCAAAUUGAAACUUCUCAGUGAUUGAAUCUGUGCCCACGCCAUCUCAGCCUUCAGUCACUUCCUCAGGAGAAAUUACACUCCAAGUCUGAGAUCAAAAGAGAUUUAUUUCAAAGGGGCAUUAUGACGUCGUGUAUCAUUUUACUGCAGCAUUCCUGAUACAGUGACAGACUCUUAGCUCCACAGCCUGCAGCUGAUUCAGCACCACUGUGUAUUUAAACAAGCCAUGAACUCAGUAUGUCUUUAGGGGUCUUCCCUGUUUUGAAUAUUUGUCAUGAAGUCUGAUGUUUUAAUCUUUGUAAAUAAAUAAACUGUAAUACUUCAAAUAAAAUGCAGUGUGUUUAACAUUA